rnacentral:misc_RNA from 1 species
CUCCAUGCCAACUGUCAUUGUUAUAGGCCGCAAACUCACACCUCACCUUGAUCAUGAUGGCACCAAAGGAAACCCACAAAAUGGUGAGCCACAGCUCUCCGGGGUCUACCAAUUGCAUGAUAUGGGUUGGUCUUUGGCCCUAAAAAGGCCCAAAAAAGGCUUACUAUCGUGAUUCAGGACACGAACUUGAAGAUUGAAAAGUGAAGG